CCUACGGGAGGCAGCAGUGGGGAAUAUUGGACAAUGGGCGAAAGCCUGAUCCAGCCAUGCCGCGUGUGUGAAGAAGGCCUUCGGGUUGUAAAGCACUUUCAGUGGGGAAGAAAGCCUUGGGGCUAAUACCCUCGAGGAAGGACAUCACCCACAGAAGAAGCACCGGCUAACUCCGUGCCAGCAGCCGCGGUAAUACGGAGGGUGCGAGCGUUAAUCGGAAUUACUGGGCGUAAAGCGCGCGUAGGCGGUCUGAUAAGCCGGUUGUGAAAGCCCCGGGCUCAACCUGGUAACGGCAUCCGGAACUGUCAGGCUAGAGUGCAGGAGAGGAAGGUAGAAUUCCCGGUGUAGCGGUGAAAUGCGUAGAGAUCGGGAGGAAUACCAGUGGCGAAGGCGGCCUUCUGGACUGACACUGACGCUGAGGUGCGAAAGCGUGGGUAGCAAACAGGAUUAGAUACCCUAGUAGUC
rnacentral:rRNA from 1 species